rnacentral:rRNA from 1 species
UACGGAGGAUGCAAGCGUUAUCCGGAAUGAUUGGGCGUAAAGCGUCCGCAGGUGGCUGUGUAAGUCUGCUGUCAAAGAGCAAAGCUCAACUUUGUAAAGGCAGUGGAAACUACACGGCUAGAGUGCGUUCGGGGCAGAGGGAAUUCCUGGUGUAGCGGUGAAAUGCGUAGAGAUCAGGAAGAACACCGAUGGCGAAGGCAGUCUCUCUGGGACGG